rnacentral:lncRNA from 1 species
GCUUAUGCAACACAUCCGUCUCUCGAAAGCACCUCUCGCAACGCCUUCGAAAAAUUGCAGAGUUACGUUUUUUAGAAGAUGAGGACCUCUGCAAUAACCAAAUCUCAAAUUAACGAAGCUUUGGAACAACAUUGUGCAAACCUGCGAAGGGUAACAAUCUGCAAAGAGUCCAUCUUUCAUGAUCAGUGUCAUGUUGGCAGUACUCCAGUUCAACCUGGAAAACGAACACACAGAAUCAUAGUAAACCUCGUUUUACCUCGAGCAAACAAACCAGCACCCCAUCUUAAGAGUGCUCCACCGGGAAAGAAGAGCAUCUCGCCCGCGAUCUGACGAAGCCGAGCGUGGUAUUCCCCGAGGAAUCCACCG